AAUAACUCCUGUCAGCAGCAAGGUCCUGACUGAAGUGGCAGCUGCAGUUGUUCCUGUGGUGUGGGCCAGUGGAAUUCCAAGAAAAUGGACAAGGACAGAAGCUGUAAGAAUUACCCCUAAGCCAGAGUCUCUCCUGGCAGAAGAGCCCAGGCCUGAGCUGGCUGAGUGUUGGUGUGAGCCAGAGUGGGUGUCCCUGCCCUGGGGCCAGUCCCCAGAGCUGCCUUUGGCAUCCCCUGCUGAAGGGUGGGAGCUGCCCAGAGCCAGCAGCAUCCAGCUGGAGGAUCCAGGAGGAUGCAGCUCUGCUUUGCUGGGAGCUUGUCCAGGAGAUGGAAUUCCAGUGCUACAGUCCAGAUGGGUCGUGGUGCUCCCAAAAGGACCCUUUGUGCCUUCAGGGCAGGUUCUGGUGCCACUGGAGCUGCUGGGAGAAGCAUAGGGUUGGCAGUGAGAGGCCUGGAAUGAUGUUGCUGUGGCACAGAAGAAAUGAGCAGUGGUGGUACAAUUGGCUAUUUUGUCUUGAAUGUAAUGGUAAGAGCUCCAGGAGUGCAAGGUGUGUGUUCCAGUCCCCAGCAUUUGGUUUGCACCUGUCCUGGUCAGACACAGGUCCAACUUCCUCAGUCCUUAACCCAGUAGAGGGCGAAUUAAGGACUGGCAGUGUUAAGGUGAUUGGUGUGACAGGGGUUAAACUGGGAAAACAUUGGGGAAUUCCUCGGUUGGUCCAUUUGCCAAACUCACCCAAACCUCUGCUAGGAAGAGAUGGACUGGAAAAGUUGAGGCAGAAAUGAAAUGGAAAACUGGGGUUGUUGAAACUGUAAUUGCUGGAACUAAAUGUGUCCAAGCAGCAGCUCUUGUUGUGCAGGGAAUAACUCCUGUCAGCAGCAAGGUCCUGACUGAAGUGGCAGCUGCAGUUGUUCCUGUGGUGUGGGCCAGUGGAAUUGCAGGAGAGUGGAAGAGGGCAGAACCUGAUGUGAAUGCAAGAAUCUGCCAAGAAAACCAAUGUCCAAGAUGAUUGAUGAGUGCAGGACCUGAGAGAACCACCUUGAAUGACAACCUUAGGUUUAAAAGAUGGGUGUUGCUUUUGAAGGAGAAAAUCUGGAAAGCAGGAAGGAAGAAAAGAAGCCCCAUGACUCCUCCCUGAGCCCCAGACAGCCCAUGAACUACCUUCCUGGGAAUGGUAGGACGGGGUGGACUCUGGAUUGCUCCCUCUGGAUGUGUGGUAAGACUUUUAUACCAGCUUUUAAGAACAGCCUGUAAGCAUUUGCUGCCUUGGCUAGAUGGUGCAAGGGCAGCCUUUAAGCAGCUGAAGCAUUCCCUGAGGAGAGCUCUGGGUCUGCCAGAUGUCUCAGAAGUGUUGGAAGCAUCUUUGGUGGGGAGGGCAAACAAAGGCCAAGGUGUGCAGUGACCCCCCUGAGAAGGGACUUUGAGUUAAUGGCAUCCCUGCAAGUGAACUUUGUGGGCUGUUCCCCCUGUAGGGCAGGUGAUAGUCCGUGCUAUAGUGAUGGGAAA